UAUAUUUGCGCCCUUGACCGAAUUUCGGUCAUGUACAUAAAAAUCAUUAAAACAAUAUUGGAAUG
rfam:Arenibacter nanhaiticus strain CGMCC 1.8863 genome assembly, contig: Ga0066783_113